AUAUAUUAUUUUUUUAAAAGAAAAAUAAAAACAGUAAAGAUAUUAUUUUUAAUUUUCGUUUUUUUUUAAUUUUUUUUAAUUUUUUUUUAAUUUUUUUUAAUAGUUAGAAAAAUAAAAACAGAAAAAUAAAAACGGAAAGAUAAAAACACCCAUCAGUAGGUGUUGAUUCUCUUUGCCUGAUAUUCUUUUCUUUUUCUUCUUCUUGCUGAAUAUUUUUAGAAAAUUGAGAACACCAAGCACCUGUUUCCAUAUAUCAAUCAUAGGAACUUUAAUCUCCAAUUUCUUGAAGAUCUCCAUAAAGCACUUAAACUUCUUUUCCUUCCUAUGAUCUUUCUUUUGAUGAGGAAGAGGUUUUGCAUAUAACCUUUUCUUCUUUCCUCUCUUCCUCUUUUUCUCAAUCUUUUCCUCCCUCAACUUUCUUUUUUUAUUUUUCCUUGAUUUCUUCUUUUUUAUUUUUGCACUUUUUUUCUUUUUUUCUUUUCUCUCAACCACUUCUUUUUCUCUCUCCUCAUAUUUCUCUCCCUUACUCAAUUUUUCUGUUUCUUCCUCCUCUAUCUUUUCCUCCUCUAUCUUCUCCUCAUCAACAACCUUAUCAAUUUGUGUCUCCAAAUUCCUGAAGGUAACUUCAUAGCUCUUGAAAUCGUUCUUCUUCAAAAAUUUGUCGAACUUUUCAUUAAAGCUUUUGACUUGUUCCGUCAAAUCAACUAUCUGAUGAUAUAG
rnacentral:lncRNA from 1 species